rnacentral:rRNA from 1 species
UACCAGACUCCUACGGGAGGCAGCAGUGGGGAAUAUUGGACAAUGGGGGGAACCCUGAUCCAGCGACGCCGCGUGAGUGAAGAAGUAUUUCGGUAUGUAAAGCUCUAUCAGCAGGGAAGAAGAAAUGACGGUACCUGACUAAGAAGCUCCGGCUAAAUACGUGCCAGCAGCCGCGGUAAUACGUAUGGAGCAAGCGUUAUCCGGAUUUACUGGGUGUAAAGGGAGCGCAGGCGGCGCGCCAAGUCUGGUGUGAAACCCCGGGGCUCAACCCCGGGACUGCAUUGGAAACUGGCGGGCUGGAGUGUCGGAGGGGCAGGCGGAAUUCCUGGUGUAGCGGUGAAAUGCGUAGAUAUCAGGAGGAACACCGGUGGCGAAGGCGGCCUGCUGGACGACAACUGACGCUGAGGCUCGAAAGCGUGGGGAGCAAACAGGAUUAGAUACCCGGGUA